GACGAACGCUGGCGGCGUGCUUAACACAUGCAAGUCGAACGGAAAGGCCCUGCUUUUGUGGGGUGCUCGAGUGGCGAACGGGUGAGUAACACGUGAGUAACCUGCCCUUGACUUUGGGAUAACUUCAGGAAACUGGGGCUAAUACCGGAUAGGAGCUCCUGCUGCAUGGUGGGGGUUGGAAAGUUUCGGCGGUUGGGGAUGGACUCGCGGCUUAUCAGCUUGUUGGUGGGGUAGUGGCUUACCAAGGCUUUGACGGGUAGCCGGCCUGAGAGGGUGACCGGCAACAUUGGGACUGAGAUACGGCCCAGACUCCUACGGGAGGAAGCAGUGGGGAAUAUGGAACAAUGGGCGGAAGCCUGAGGCAGCAACGCCGCGUGCGGGAUGACGGCCUUCGGGUGGUAAACCGCUUUCGCCUGUGACGAAGCGUGAGUGACGGUAAUGGGUAAAGAAGCACCGGCUAACUACGUG
rnacentral:rRNA from 1 species